rnacentral:rRNA from 1 species
UACAGAGGUCCCAAGCGUUGUUCGGAUUCACUGGGCGCAAAGGGUGCGUAGGCGGUCGGGUAAGUCUGAUGUGAAAUCUCACAGCUUAACUGUGAAACUGCAUUGGAUACUAUCCGGCUCGAGGAAUGGAGGGGAGACUGGAAUACUUGGUGUAGCAGUGAAAUGCGUAGAUAUCAAGUGGAACACCAGUGGCGAAGGCGAGUCUCUGGACAUUUCCUGACGCUGAGGCACGAAAGCCAGGGGAGCAAACGGG